GCGUGUUGGAGAGGUUAAUGUGGUUCAAGUUGAGACAGAUAUUGCUAGCAAUUGUGCACUUGCAGGUAAUUUUAAAUAGCCAUUUUUAUUAGAUAAAUUUCUAUUUUUAAGUGAAGAAUAUAUUAAAAUUUACAUGGCAGCAUUUUGUAUUGUUUUUUAGGAAAGUUAUUAGAAACUAAGUGCCUUCAUUUAUACUGAACUCUUU
rnacentral:misc_RNA from 1 species